GAUGAACGCUGGCGGCGUGCCUAAUACAUGCAAGUCGAGCGAACAGAUGAGGAGCUUGCUCCUCUGACGUUAGCGGCGGACGGGUGAGUAACACGUGGAUAACCUACCUAUAAGACUGGGAUAACUUCGGGAAACCGGAGCUAAUACCGGAUAAUAUAUUGAACCGCAUGGUUCAAUAGUUAAAGACGGUUUUGCUGUCACUUAUAGAUGGAUCCGCGCCGCAUUAGCUAGUUGGUAAGGUAACGGCUUACCAAGGCAACGAUGCGUAGCCGACCUGAGAGGGGAAUGGGACAAAGGGGAACAGAGAAAGGGUACAAAUCCCGAGGGGAGGGAAAGGGGGGAAAUUGCCCGAAAGGGGAGAAAGCAGGAAGGAGAAACGAGGGGGGAGGAGUGAAGGUUUGGGGAUGGUAAAACUUUUUUAUUAGGGAAAAAAAAAUGGGAAAGAAAAUAGGAACGGUUUGGCGGUACCAAAUAAAAAAGCCACGGUUAAAUACGU
rnacentral:rRNA from 1 species